rnacentral:rRNA from 1 species
GACAGAGGAUGCAAGCGUUAUCCGGAAUGAUUGGGCGUAAAGCGUCUGUAGGUGGCUUUUUAAGUCCGCCGUCAAAUCCCAGGGCUCAACCCUGGACAGGCGGUGGAAACUACCAAGCUGGAGUACGGUAGGGGCAGAGGGAAUUUCCGGUGGAGCGGUGAAAUGCGUAGAGAUCAGAAAGAACACCACGGACGAAAGCACUCUGCUGGGCCGACACUGACACUGAGAGACGAAAGCUAGGGGAGCGAAUGGG